rnacentral:rRNA from 1 species
CAAGGAAUUUUCGUCAAUGGGGGAAACCCUGAACGAGCAACGCCGCGUGGGCGAAGAAGUCCUUCGGGAUGUAAAGCCCUUUUCCCUGUGAAGAAAGAAAGACGGUAGCAGGGGAAUAAGCAUCGGCUAACUACGUGCCAGCAGCCGCGGUAAUACGUAGGAUGCAAGCGUUGUCCGGAAUUAUUGGGCGUAAAGAGCGCGCAGGUGGUUUUACAAGUCAGAUGUGAAAGAGGCCGGCUUAACCGGCAAGGGUCAUUUGAAACUGUAAGACUAGAGUGCAGCAGAGGAUAGCGGAAUUCCCGGUGUAGUGGUGAAAUGCGUAGAUAUCGGGAGGAACACCAGUGGCGAAGGCGGCUAUCUGGGCUGCAACUGACGCUGAGGCGCGAAGGCUAGGGUAGCAAACA